CUGUUCUUAUCCCUGCGCGCCGACCGUUUCUUCCGUGUGCCAUGGAGUUUCUUCUCCCUGGCUAGCACUCUCUCUUCCUUGAUUCCUUCUCCCUGGCCGAGCGCGCCUGGAUCUUCUCCCUCCCAGGCGUUCGGCAGCUCGGCCGCUCGUUCCUCUCUGCUGCUCGCCGAUUCCCUCUUCCCCCAGCUCCGCUCGUCCAUGGCGCCCCUCCCUCUGUUCGCUCGCGUGCAGCCGCGCCCCUCCGCUCGCCCAGUCUCCGCGUGGCAGCUUUCCUCUGCCGGUGCCCAGCCCUGUGGCCCCUCCUCUCUCUCCCUCAAGCUCUCUGCGCGCCGAGCUCCCUCUCCGACGGUCGUCCUCGCCUCAAGCUCCCUCGGCGCUCUCCCUGCUCGCCUGCGCACCUUUCCCCGGCGGGAGCUCGCGCUCUACGGAGCCCGGUCCUUCCCUGCCGCGCGCCGAGCCCUUUGCCGUGCCGAGCUCCUAACCAUGGCGCUACUGCUCCCAGCCGAGAGCUCGCCGAGCUCUGUCCUCUUCCAUGGCGCCCAACCCACUGCGCCGUGA
rnacentral:misc_RNA from 1 species